GGGGGUUGGGUAGGAGAAACGAAAGAAAUCUAAUCUUGUUUUUAUUUCUGUUUACAGGACAUAGAAGAUACAAGACACAGAAGAUGAUGGCUUCCUUUUGGACCUUGACCUUGACUGCUCGAAUGAACAAUUAAAGGACAUAGAAGAUGAUGACAUACACAAGCUCUUCGAUGACAAAGUGCUUCCUGUCGGACCUUGACUUUCACUGCUCGAAUGAACAAUUUAAGGACAUAGAAGAUACAAGACAGCAGAUGAUGACUUCCUUUUGGACCUUGACCUUGACUGCUCGAAUGAACAACUAACUUAGGUUAGUAAACUUUUUUUUGGAGUUGGGUAUGAGAAAUGAAACAAAUCUUAUCUUUUUUUCAUUUCUGUUUACAGGACAUAGAAGAUGAUGACAUACACAAGCCCUUCACCACAUUAAUGAGCCAGCCUUCUACGACAUAGUGCUUCCUUUCGGACCUUGACCUUCACUGCUCGAAUGAACAACUAAAGGUUAGUAAACUUUUUUUGGAGUUGGGUAGGAGAAAUGAAACACAUCUAAUCUAAUUUUUAUUUCUGUUUACAGGACAUAGAAGAUACAAGACAUAGAAGAUAAUGACUUAAUUCCUCUCAGAACUUGACCUUGACUGCUCAAAUGAACAACUAAAGGUUAGUAAACUGUUUUUUGGAGUUGGGUAGGGGAAUUGAAACAAAUCGAAUCUUGUUCUCAUUUCUGUUUACAGGACAUAGAAGAUGAUGACAUACACAAGUCCUUCGCCACAUUAAUAAGCCAGCCUUCUCCUCUGACACAGUGCUUCCUUUUGGACCUUGACCUUCACUGCUUGAAUGAACAAUUUAAGGUUAGUAAACUUUUUGGAGGUUGGGUAGGAGAAAUGAAACAAAUCUAACCUUUUUUAUUUCUGUUUACAGGACAUAGAAGAUACAAGACAUAGAAGUUGAUGACUUCCUUUAGGACCUUGACCUGCACUGCUCAAAUUAACAAUUAAAGGUUAGUAAACUUUUUUUUGGAGUUGGGUAGGAGAAAUGAAACAAAUCUAAUCUUGUUUUCAUUUCUGUUUACAGGACAUAGAAGAUGAUGAUAUAGGCCUACACAAAGCCCUUUGUCACAUUAAUGAGCCAGCCAUCUCCUCAAACACAGUGCUUCCUUUUGGACCUUGACUUUACUGCUCGAAUGAACAAUUUAAGGUUAGUUAACUUUUUUGGGGGUUGGGUAGGAGAAAUGAAAGAAAUCUAAUCUUGUUUUUAUUUCUGUUUACAGGACAUAGAAGAUACAAGACACAGAAGAUGAUGGCUUCCUUUUGGACCUUGACCUUGACUGCUCGAAUGAACAAUUAAAGGUUAGUAAACUUUUUUUUGGAGUUGGGUAGGAGAAAUGAAACAAAUCUAAUCUUGUUUUCAUUUCUG